CACGUAGGGUGCGAGCGUUGUCCGGAAUUAUUGGGCGUAGAGAGCUCGUAGGCGGUGUGUCGCGUCGGCCGUGAAAACCUGCAGCUUAACUGUGGGCUUGCGGUCGAUACGGGCAUCACUGGAGUUCGGCAGGGGAGACUGGAAUUCCUGGUGUAGCGGUGAAAUGCGCAGAUAUCAGGAGGAACACCGGUGGCGAAGGCGGGUCUCUGGGCCGAUACUGACGCUGAGGAGCGAAAGCGUGGGGAGCGAACAGG
rnacentral:rRNA from 1 species